rfam:Mucilaginibacter lappiensis strain ATCC BAA-1855 genome assembly, contig: Ga0104715_106
UGUAGGAUGGUGAAAUUUUGGCAGACACACCUCCUUGUCGCGGUGGCGGAGAAAUUGGGAAACUUUCAGUAAUGAAAAUAACCACUCCGUGGAGGUUCGACUCCUUCUCCUACAG